rnacentral:rRNA from 1 species
CCACGGGAGUAAAUUGCAGCUCAAACCGCCGGGAGCCGAAAGGCAGGCGUCUAGGCUGUGGUUCAUGACUGGGGUGAAGUCGUAACAAGGUAACUGUACCGGAAGGUGCGGUUGGAUCACCUCCUUUACU